rnacentral:tRNA from 1 species
GCCAGAAAUAGGCUCAGUUGGAGAGCGUUAGACUGAAGAUCUAAAGGUCCCUGGUUCAAUCCCGGCUUUCGGCG